rnacentral:lncRNA from 1 species
GUAAGAAUGAAAAUAUGUUUUACACAAUGUGGGUGUACCAGGCAUUUAAAUUUUACCAAUGUGCUUUAUCGAGGCCCGUCUGGUAGUUUGAAGCUUGGAGCAUGCAGUCUGGAAAUGGUAAGUAUUUGUUGGUUGGCUUGUUUUGUUAUGUUUUGGAGUUUUGUUUCUAUAGUUUGCUUGUAUUUUAUACGGAUUUUUGCUUGUUGAUGGAUGUUGUCUUCUGUGUCAGGACUCCAGUGAUUGGACAAAACUUGAACCUAAAGUCAACACAGUGGAUGAGGUUCAUAUCUACAGCCUCCAGUCUGAAGCAGGUCACUUUGAGUGCAGCGUCUCUUCCCUGCGCUGGGUUUGUAAGAAGAAGGUCAGCUUCAAAUACCACUUCAGCUCAUGGGAUGAACACAGGGAGAAGCCUUCAUGUGUGGAUUACAUGCCAGCAGGACCACUACUGGACAUCACAGUCACAAGUGGAAAGAUGGAGGAAGUGCAUCUGCCACACUGGAUAGGUAAGUGGACAUACAAGUAUGAUGAAUAUUGUUUCUAUGAAUGAAUAAAGAAAUCAAUAAAAUAUUUUUUUCUCACUAAACACUGUAAGAUUAAUUUUGUUUUUGUUCUGUCUUUUCUUCAGAUCACAACUCCACAAUAUCGGACAUGUUUGCAGUCCUACAUGUGGAUACUUCUGGAGAUUUUGUGAAAAAAGCGCCUCAAGUGACAUCAUCCCACGUCAAGUUAUGCCAGCCGACUUUCUUUCCAGCAGGGGUCAUGAUCCGGGUGAAACUGGGCUUCCCAGUCAAGGUUCACUAUGAGGCGUUGAUACAUUACUUUGAGGUGUUCCUCAGAAAUGCAGACGGUGACUAUAACCUGAGACUUGACAGUGAGGGAAAGAAAAAAAGCAGAAGGGACACAGUCUGGACCUGCACUAUAAGAAAAGGUGAGUGUUUUCACAGCAGUUUUCAAUUAAUUCAUGUGCACACACCUUUUGUUUUUUGUAAA